CCCACGACCACAUGGUUAAAAGCCAUGCGCUCUACCAGCUGAGCUAAGACGGCAACGGUACCCCGUGGAUAACGUAUUUUCUAAUUCGAUACAUAUCAGUUCCGGAAAACCGGAGGAACCCCAUCCAUGGAGCUGGCGACUCUUCCACCGACGACUCCAAAUCGAUCUCUCCCGCUCGAUUCACCCUUGAAUCGGGCUAUUUCGGCAUGACCAGAGAGGCGGAGGCGCGGAGCCGCGGAGGCCGGAGCGGACGAGCGGUGGAGGUGACGAGGCGUGGUCCGCGUGGAGCUCGGGUUUCUCCGAUCGUCGUCGUCGUCGACCGGUCGUCGUCGUCGUCGACCGUCCGUCCGUCCGAGCUCGGCGGAGUGGUGAAGAGGAGUUCCGACCACCCUAUCAUCGGCCAAGCUAGGUUUUGAGGUACGAUUACUUAGUAUCUUCUUCCGUUCUUCAUUUUGGUUGGGAUUUGCAGAGGAUUAGAGCGGACGAGCGGCGGAGGCAUGGAGCUAGGGUUUCUCCAUCCAAACUCGGCGAAGCGGUGAAACCCUAGUUCUGAGGCAGCCGUCGUGGACGCGUCGUCGACCGUCCAAGCUCGUCGUCGACCGUACUCGACCGUCCAAGCUCGUCGUCGACCGUACUUCAAGGAUUAUUGCAAGUUGAAAGGCCUAAUGAAUGGUUUUGAUCUAAAAAUCCUUGAAGUACGGCAGUAGUGAUGAUAUAGAAAAGCUUGAAAAAACAUUAGAGGCAAUUGUUGAUAGGAAUGCCUGGAGAAAGAGGAUUUUUAAAUAUUCUAAUGUUUUUUGAGUUCAGUUAUACUUGACCAGAAGAAAUGUAAGUUAAACAAGUCCAUCAUCAAUAUUUAAGGCAUUCUGCGGAAUUUGAUUCUUAACAAAUGAUGGCAGCCAGAAUUAUGAUCAUUAGAAGCAAGUGCACAGAAAAAUUCCCCUUUUUUCCUUUCUGAGGGAAUGAAUUAAAGGUCUGUUUUUAUUCUAACAUUCUCAGAGGUCUUAGGUAUAGCAUGUGGAAGAGGAUGGAACUCAGAGAAAGAGAAGAAAUUAGAUUGCUUAUAGAUGAUGGGAGGAUGGCUUCCUCUUGCUCUCCUCCUUCUAUUAUUCUUUCUUCUUUUUCAUCCAUACGUCUGUGUAGAAUCUGUCAUGAAGAGGAGGAAGAGAGCUCCACAAGCAUGGAAUCUCCCUGUGCUUGUUCUGGGACUUUGAAGGUUGUUGAUGGGCUUAUAAUAUAAUUUGAAGAGUGAGGUAGAUUUUAGAAAUAGAAGGGAGAGGAAUCUUCAAUGGAUGGUUCUCCAAAUCAUGCUGAAAAAUGACUAAAAUGAGGAGGAUGCAUUCAGAUGCUCUUUCUCUUUGCUUGCCUCCAUCGUUUAGUCCAUAUACUUUCUUUUACUAAACAAAGUGGCUUAGACUUUAGAUAUUGGUUGAACAAUUAAGUCUUCCAUCUGUUCAUUGAAAGGAGGGGACACUUGUGUCCAAGUCAUCUCUUUGUAUCACACUCUUGACAUGUGCACUUAGCAAUACUACCGGUUUAUGCAUUGUUACAUGUAUUUCCCAGCUCAAUAUUCUUACAAAAUGUAGGUUCAUGUUUAAGGAGGGAUAAUUCUUAGGUAAGCCACGCAGUCUUUUAGAUAAAGUAGUUAAAAAGGCAUACUUGAUAUUAUACCUAUGAAAUUAGCAAAUAAUAAAGGAACUAUAUAUUUUUCAUAUCAUAAUCUAAAUGAUAUCGAACUUCGUUUGCUUGAUUAUGGAUAAAAUUAAGUUCCUUUAUUUAUUUGGCAUGUUUGGAACACAAGUACAUAGAUAUGCCCCCUUGUUGUAUGUGUAUGUAGGGAAAUAAUAAUGCUUUCAAUGCGCGAUGGGACAAAUUUAUGGUGCCUACCAUCUAUGGUUAGUCUGUGCUUUCAGUACUCGUGCCUCUAUAGUGUAGAAUGUGGCAUAGCUUGUCCAGUACAUUUUGUUGUAGCCAAUAGAAUUAGCUCUAUGGGUCCGAGCAUCCUGUGCAACAACACAUCGAUAGGGGUGCAUCAUAUUUUAUAUCCUUGUGCAUUCAGUAGUUUGGAUAAUUGUGGAGGUUAUGGAUGAUCUGCUACAAACCAAGAAGCCACGGAUCCUGUCUGCUACUACUAAAUAUGGGAUUCUAGGACAACCUUGUACUGUGUUACUUGGACAAUCAUGUCCAGCUCCUAGAAUCUUUGUCGAAUACAUAUGUGACUCUUGGAUACUUGUCAACUUUCUUUCCUUUUUUUUUUCUAAUUGCAACUUUUAAGAAUCAUUAGAGUUGGACUCCUCUUAUAAUGAGUUUGACCAACUAUAACAAUGUUAGAAGUGAAAUUUUCUUCUUUUUAAAGAAUGGUUAAGAAUAUGGGUAUGAAAAUAAUUCUGCAGGAUGUGAUCUUCCAAAAACCCUUGAUAGUGUUCUAAAAAGCGGUGCAUAAAGCUGCACAUGUGGAUGUGUUCCCUUGACCACACUGCAUUGCCUAUAUGCAAUUAUAUUAUGCAUUGUGCUGCAUAUGGGCUGAAAAAGCAGUCUGCUUAGCUCUAUGCAGCCGUAUAUGUGGCCCACUUUAUACUGUGCGACUGCUUGUGGCUCAUUUAGCAUUAAGGGCCUACUACGUGGCCCACUUUUAUGCAGGCCUGUGCCACUGAAGCAUGUAUAGGCUGAUAGUUAGGUUCAACGUGUGUUUCAGUUAUGUUAUAACUAUUGCUGUUAGUACUAAAUGCUAGGCAAUAAGCACUAUUUGUUAAUACGUUGUUGUUAUUAAUAUUGAUAUUAUUUACUCAAAAAGAAUAUUACUUCUGUGCUGUCACUUUUAUCAUUGUUAAUAUAUUUCAUUUGUUUUUAUAUAGUUAAAGGAUAUUAAUUGCAUGCAUGCCUGUAUAUGCAGCGAGCAUACUGCGUGCACAAUAUGGUCCGUUGACCGCCUGCUUAUCACAAGUGUCUUUUAAAACACUUAAACUAAUUUGAAAGUUUGGAUGCGAAACAUUCAUAUCAGACGACCUUAAUAAAUAAUCUCUUUUGUUGCUUGCUUUUCUAUAUAUAUAUAUGAGAGAUAACAUUAACCUCUUCUAGGUAUUCCAUAUCUUGUUUACCCCCUUGUCCAGGACACUUGCAGCAUUGGUAGAAAGAUCGUGGCAUUAGGUAUUCCAAAAUUUUGCAUAAUCCUGGGCCAGGCAUGCUAUUUGUGUAUAGCAACUUAGUUACUAGAAGCAAAUGCAAGUGCAGGAGCAGAUUCAGGUGAGGGUGUGGGAACAUAGGUUUCUUAAAACUUCUUAAUAAGGAAGCUGGUGUGAGAACAAGUUUCCAGGGAGAUUUUGAAGCAGGUGCAGCACCCAUAGUGGCAAAUUCUGGCUUCUGAGUUAGCCCGCGGAUGCAACCAUGCAUGUGAACACUCCAGAAAAGAGAUGGAGGUUCAAGAAGCUCUUGUAGAUGUUGGUAUUACAGCAUCGGUCACUAUUCUCGUGAUGGACAAGCUUUCUGCAAAUGUUGUGUUGUAUAAGAGUUUUUGAUAUAUUUUCCUAGAUCCAGGUAAUAUUUGCAAAUCACGACGCCAUUUAAAUCAUUAACUUUCUAUGUCUAUGUUGCGAAUGUUUGUUUCCCUAGAUCCAGAUAAUACAAUGCAACAUCAGGAGGGCGUUUUAAGUCAAAUGGGUUCAUUUGUUUACC